rfam:Dictyocaulus viviparus strain HannoverDv2000 D_viviparus-1.0_Cont904.1, whole genome shotgun sequence.
UGGGAUCUAGCCAAGCGGUAAGGCCAUAGGUUUUGGUCCUAUCAUGCAGAGGUUCGAAUCCUUUCAUUCCAG